rnacentral:rRNA from 1 species
UAAGGAAUAUUGGUCAAUGGGCGAAAGCCUGAACCAGCCACGCCGCGUGAAGGAAGACGGCCCUACGGGUUGUAAACUUCUUUUCUACGGGAAUAAACCUCAGGACGUGUCUUGAGCUGAAGGUACCGUAGGAAUAAGGAUCGGCUAACUCCGUGCCAGCAGCCGCGGUAAUACGGAGGAUCCAAGCGUUAUCCGGAUUUAUUGGGUUUAAAGGGUGCGUAGGUGGGAUAAUAAGUCAGAGGUGAAAGCUAGCAGCUUAACUGUUAAAUUGCCUUUGAUACUGUUAUUCUUGAGUGUAGUUGGCGUUGGCGGAAUGUGACAUGUAGCGGUGAAAUGCGUAGAUAUGUCACAGAACACCGAUCGCGAAGGCAGCUAACGAAACUAUCACUGACACUGAUGCACGAAAGCGUGGGGAGCAAACA